ACGAAGAAGCCUAAAAAUCGACGAAUUCCAACUAGAUUCUUUCUCGAGAGAGCCUAAGAACGAUGGAGGAUUCAGAGAAUGAUCAUGUGAUGAGCGAGAUUCAUCUGGGUUGCCCACCCACCACUAUCGGACCCUUUAUUUCCCGAUUCACCUUCUCUUCUUGUCCACUACUACUCGAUCCCUCCUCGAUGAUUGAUAAAGAUGGUGACCUUCUUCUUCCUAGGCGGCGAAGAACCAGCCCAUCCUCUCACGGUCACGGGUCGUCGUUUACUGUCACCAUUCAGCAUUCUAUCACAUCAACCCUCCCUGAUGUUGGUCUGCAGGUCUGGAAAUCACAACUCGUCUUAUCAGAUUUUGUAUUGCAUAACAUGUCUCUACUCAAUGGCCUUGUGUGCCUUGAACUCGGUGCUGGAACAGGGCUGCUCGGUAUAUUGCUUGCACGGGUGGCCAAGGCUGUUUUCCUUACUGACCACGGAGACCAAAUUCUUGGCAACUGUCUUCGGAACGUGGAAUUGAAUUCUUCCCUCUUUCACCCUCAAGCUAUUGUUAAUGUUCGUGACCUCAACUGGAUGAGCGAAUGGCCUCUUCAAGUUACCCAUGCUGAUCCUAAACCGUUUUGUUGGAGCUUCCAGGACUUUGAACUAGUCAAAAGUGCUAGCUUCAUUUUUGCAGCAGAUGUGAUCUACAGCGAUGAUCUAACCAUUGCCUUGUUCAGCAUGUUAAAGAGACUCAUGUCCUUGGGUUGUGACAAGGUACUAUAUCUGGGUUUGGAGAAAAGAUACAACUUCAGCCUAGACGAUCUCAACGUUGUUGCCAAUGGCUACGCAUGCUUCAGAAGAUACAUCAAAGAAGACGCCCUUUGCGAUCUUUCCGACAAGAAGAGUUUUUUUGUGGGCAACCGCAUCGACCUCAAACAGAUCCCUCAGUACACCCAGGGCUACGAUAGAGGAGAAGAUGUCGAGCUUUGGGAAAUCAGAUAUGUACGUUAACACUCUAAUGAAGGAAGGAUCCAUUUCAUUCGCUUGUAACAACAACAGUUCAGAAAGAGACCAACCUACAAAAAAAAAAGAAGCAAUCAACCGUAAGAAACAAGAGCGAUGCAGUCUUGGCGGCUGGAGAAUGGUUGGCGGUUCAAACUAGAAUCGAGCGAUUAAAAAAAACCCACCCAAGAAAAGAGAAGUUAGGUUAAUGGGCCUUUUAAACUAAUUUAUGGGUUGGAUUAUGGGCCUUAAAAGCAAAUGAAUGGGUUAGAAUAGGUGAGGUUGAAAGGGUGGGUGGGUCAAUCCGGAAGCCCUAAACGGCGGGAAAAUCACAAAAGAGCAGCAUUUCAGGAGAUUUUCGAAAGAAAGAAAGAUGGCAGUCUACAGGCAUCAAUGUCGAGUUUCCAUUCGAGGCCUACCCUUGUCAGAUCAUUUACAUGGACAAAGUUAUCGAGGCUCUCCAAAAACAAAUGUAACGCGCUUCUGGAGAGUCCAACUGGAACUGGGAAAACUCUUGGGAAAACUCUUUGUCUUCUGUGUGCCACCUUAGCCUGGAGAAAGAGCCUGGGCAGUUUCUCCACCCGUAAGGAGGGGGGCAAGGAGGAGGUUUUCCUACCAUAGUUUAUGCGUCUCGUCAGCUCCGUCAAGUUAUUAAAGAACUUAAAAGAUGUAGCUAUAGGUCUCCCCUUUGCCAAUUUAUAUUUCUUUUAUAUAAUCAAUCAUCUCGUGUUCUAAUUUCU